rnacentral:rRNA from 1 species
UACGUAGGGGGCAAGCGUUGUCCGGAUUUAUUGGGCGUAAAGAGCGUGUAGGCGGCCAGGUAGGUCCGUUGUGAAAACUGGAGGCUUAACCUCCAGCUGUCGAUGGAAACCAUCUGGCUAGAGUCCGGAAGAGGAGAGUGGAAUUCCUGGUGUAGCGGUGAAAUGCGCAGAUAUCAGGAGGAACACCGGUGGCGAAGGCGGCUCUCUAGUACGGUACUGACGCUGAGACGCGAAAGCGUGGGGAGCGAACAGG